UGCAGUCGAGCGGACAGAUGGGAGCUUGCUCCCUGAUGUUAGCGGCGGACGGGUGAGUAACACGUGGGUAACCUGCCUGUAAGACUGGGAUAACUCCGGGAAACCGGGGCUAAUACCGGAUGCUUGAUUGAACCGCAUGGUUCAAUUAUAAAAGGUGGCUUUUAGCUACCACUUACAGAUGGACCCGCGGCGCAUUAGCUAGUUGGUGAGGUAACGGCUCACCAAGGCGACGAUGCGUAGCCGACCUGAGAGGGUGAUCGGCCACACUGGGACUGAGACACGGCCCAGACUCCUACGGGAGGCAGCAGUAGGGAAUCUUCCGCAAUGGACGAAAGUCUGACGGAGCAACGCCGCGUGAGUGAUGAAGGUUUUCGGAUCGUAAAACUCUGUUGUUAGGGAAGAACAAGUACCGUUCGAAUAGGGCGGUACCUUGACGGUACCUAACCAGAAAGCCACGGCUAACUACGUGCCAGCAGCCGCGGUAAUACGUAGGUGGCAAGCGUUGUCCGGAAUUAUUGGGCGUAAAGCGCGCGCAGGCGGUUUCUUAAGUCUGAUGUGAAAGCCCCCGGCUCAACCGGGGAGGGUCAUUGGAAACUGGGGAACUUGAGUGCAGAAGAGGAGAGUGGAAUUCCACGUGUAGCGGUGAAAUGCGUAGAGAUGUGGAGGAACACCAGUGGCGAAGGCGACUCUCUGGUCUGUAACUGACGCUGAGGCGCGAAAGCGUGGGGAGCGAACAGGAUUAGAUACCCUGGUAGUCCACGCCGUAAACGAUGAGUGCUAAGUGUUAGA
rnacentral:rRNA from 1 species